rnacentral:lncRNA from 1 species
CGACGCCCACAUGGACGUGAACUCGAACGGCUUCAGGAACGAGUGGCCGUAGAUAAACCUCCCCGCGGGGAGAUGCGCGAGCUUCACGCCGUGGUGCGUCCCGACGAGCGUGCGCGACCGCGGCUGGUUCGCGACGACGACGACGCUGCCGUCUUCGCGGUGGCCGAAUGAGAGCGGCGCGCCUCGGGGCGUCCUGAGGAGUCGAGUCGGGGUGGAGUUGAAAGGCGUCAGGGUGGAGUUGAAAGGCGUCGAGGGCGGGGUUUGAAAGCGAGGGACCCUGGGCGGAGAGAUGCGCCGGGCAAAGUCCUUAAGGAUCGGCGUUCACCACGCCGACGCGGUCGUAUGGGAACCAGUGUGAGAUAAAACGCACCACGCGGCGAACGCUCUCGCCGAGUCGUCAAAGACGGCGAACGAAAACACGUGGUCCGCGGCGUGGAGCUCCGCGAGCAUGUCCUUCAGCGCCUUCGCGCGGGCUUUCGGGUCGUCCAGGUGCGCGUCGCGCGCGGCGAUGAACCUGUCGACGAUCUCCUCCGCGAGGAGCGUGUGCGAGAAGAGCGCGACGGAGACGCGCGAUUUCGUGAGGAGCUGCACGCGCGACGGCUUGACCGCGCCCAUGCCUCCGCGCUCGUCCACGAGCGUCACCGCGUUCUCGGGCAUCAGGCUCGUGAAGAUCUUCGCGUCGUCGGUGGACGUCGCGUUCGACUCGUCUUUCGGGCGGACGGUCACCAUGAAGAGCGCGUCCUCGUUCGCGACGCGCGCGCGCGCGUCCUUGUGUUUUUCCUUCAUCAGUGUUUCCAUCGUCGCUGGAUUCAGACGCGCGGAAUGGCGCGCGCGGUGUGUGCGGGAACGCGUGAAACGCGCGUGUGCGGUGUGCGCGUGCGGUGAGCGACGCGGUGUGUGCGGGGGAUGCGCGAACGGAGUCGCGACUGUGUGCUGGGGUCGACGCGCGAGACGCCG